UGGCAGUGCAUGUUAGCUGGCUGUUGUGUCUGAUGUGUCAACAGCUGCUAGCUGUGCUCCACA
rnacentral:pre_miRNA from 1 species